rnacentral:lncRNA from 1 species
AAAAUUAGUAUUUACUCUCUUGAGGUUUAUUAAAUGACAUUCAUAUUCCCUCUAGUUUGAAAAAAAACAUUCACCUCCACUCAUGUUUACUAUGUUUGUGACCGUUACCAAACAUUCCAACAUCCUUCCAUGGCCACCUUUAAAAUUGUAACCCAUUCUCAACUUCCUUACAAGUAAUUGAAGCAAAAUUCAUCGUAGUUCCUCAAAUCAGAGCAUUGCAACAUGAGGUAAAAAGAGAUAGUAUUUUUAAAUUGAUAGAUUCAGAAAUCAACUUGGCAGACCAAAGUAAAUCAAUUAGUUGAAUAAAGAUUGCUGUCAAGUGAUUUAUAUUUGCUGUCAUGUGCCUUAGUUAUUUUUCAAAGUCGGAUUUUCUUUCAAAAUUUGUAGAUUCAUUUUUCAAUUUGUUAAACAGCAUAUUUACAAAAUUCAUAUAAUAAACAACUUCAAAUUAAAAUUCAUGUUGGAAUGAACUUGAUACAAAGUUAACGGUGAUUAAAUGGUGUUAAAGUGGAAGGGUAAUGUUUGUCAAUUUGAUAGCAAAACAAAGGAGGUUUGUGUUUAGUUUAAAACUAGAGGGGUUAUU